UGGGGAAUAUUGCACAAUGGGGGAAACCCUGAUGCAGCGACGCCGCGUGAACGAAGAAGGUAUUCGUAUCGUAAAGUUCUGUCCUAUGGGAAGAUAAUGACAGUACCAUAGAAGAAAGCUCCGGCUAAAUACGUGCCAGCAGCCGCGGUAAUACGUAUGGAGCGAGCGUUGUCCGGAAUUAUUGGGCGUAAAGGGUACGCAGGCGGUUUAAUAAGUCGAAUGUUAAAGAUCGGGGCUCAACCCCGUAAAGCAUUGGAAACUGAUAAACUUGAGUAGUGGAGAGGAAAGUGGAAUUCCUGGUGUAGUGGUGAAAUACGUAGAUAGUAGGAGGAAUACCAGUAGCGAAGGCGGCGUUCGGGACACAAACUGACGCUGAGGUACGAAAGCGUGGGGAGCAAACAGG
rnacentral:rRNA from 1 species